CUGCAGAGUUGAAGGAUGACCAAAGUAUUCUUUUGCAUAUAAAAGACAAAGACUGUGUGGCUCUGGAGGUGCAGUACCACAAAGGCUGUUAUAAUCAGUACACCAGGUUUUUGACGAGGCCUGAAAAACCAGAGAAAGAACAGAAUGAGCCCACGUUUGAUGUCAGCUAUAAGAUAUUCUGUGAGAGGAUCAUUCGCCAAAGGCUGCUUGUCAACCAAGAGGUGCUGAGAAUGGGCCAGCUGAGGAAGGCCUUCAUUGAACUGGUGAAAGCAAAUGAAGGUCUUGAUGCUUCAAACUACAGACAGGAUAUGUUGAAGAAGAGGCUGACUCGUGAUUUCCCCCAGCUGGUGUUUCACAUGCCCUUGGUGCACAACAUCUGCGUGCUGGUUUUUACAGAGACCCUGUCAGAACUUGGGUCAACAAGUGCAGGCAGCAACAUGCAGAAUGGACACCCACUUUGCUGCACAAGCUGAAUUGGCAUAUGUUUUUGUGAAGUCCACAGAUACGGAUAGAUGUGCAAUCCCAAGCUGGACAGGUUUCCAUACACUGCUUCAAGGUGAAAAUACUCUGCAGAAGUCAGCAUUGUAUUAUCUUCCAGUAAUUGAGGCCUCACCAACAG
ensembl:lncRNA